UGUGCAGUAACCGCCAUUGAGUGCCGGCUUAAACUUUGAAGUGGAAGUAAUUUGAAAGUGUUUGUGCCGCAAUUUUUAAAUGAAAAGACAGUUGGUUGUUGUUUGUUUUUAUAUUUAUUUUAUGGGAAUAACGACCAAAAAUUUCCUGAACAUAAUCACCAACAUUACUGGCCUCAGGUAUUCCAGAAGUGGGGCCAGUGAUUCGUCUUUCACCCAGUAUUUCUACCGUAAUUUUGGGGUUGUGGCAGCAAAUUACUAGGAAGCAUCACCCGCAUCAUCAUCCUUUCUAUAGAAAAAUUGAAGUGCCGGUAGUGUCAGCCUUAUCCACCAAUUGCCAGUCACUACGAUACCUGUGCGUUGGUUUGGAUUAGUCAGUGUGCAUCGGGGUUAAGGUAUUACCAAUUGCCACACAUUCAAGGCUGGAGCGCAAGGUAACCCUUAGAAUUUGAAUUUUAUAAGAUAUAUAACAAAGGGGCUAAGAGUGCGUCGGCGGUUUCCUGCAAAACAAGAAAAGAAGAAAAUUUUAAUGUUUUUAAAAAAAGACAUCAAUUAAGAUGCAAUUGUCAAACAAGCCUAAAUUUUAAUAAUUAAUUAACCAUUAAACAACGUAUAUGUAUUUAGUGUUAAAAUUGUGUUGUCUUUGUGUAUGUCCUAGAGUUUAAGUGAUUUCAACUGUAAGGAUUUUUAACGCCAGGAUAGUAAUCACAAGUUUGUGUGCGAUUUCAGAGAGGUCGGGUAUUAGAAUUGUUCAUUUUGGCCCAGGAAUAACCAUCUUAAGCGAGCUCUCUUAGGGUAGGCAUUUGGUAAUAAAAUUUGCGUGAAUAAAAAGCAAUAGUCUCUCGCUAAACUGGUGUUAGAUAUUCCGUUAAAAAAAAAAAAAGAGAAAGAUUAAACAAUUAGAAAAAAACGAAAUUAGUUUUAAGAAACCUUUUAUAAAAUAAAUGUUUUAAUGUUUGGUUCGUGAAAGAAA